ACACAAUGAGGUAGUCACACGAGGCAAAAGCAUGUUGGGGGUGGGGGGAGCGGACAUUGGAACACACACACGCACACACACACACACACACACAUGCUCGCACACACAACCAGCCAGACAAUCGGGCCAGUGUGUCUGGGGCCUCGGAGCCCAGUGAAUUAGGAGUUUGAUAAGGGUUUUCUCUUUCUCUCGCUUGCCGGCCUUGGACAAUCUCCCCCCAGUUUUCCUCGACGCCACCCCCAGCGCUGCCAACCCUCCUCCCCCCGCCUCCCUUCUCUUCCCUGUGCCCAGACUCUUGUUCGGGGCCUUGAAACAGUGAGCUGUCUUUGUUCGAAAUACAGGUGAACGGCAAUCAUGUGAUUAACACACACACACAUAAAAAGCUUUUUAACAGCGCCCGCCCGGCCUCAGAACCGCCCAGAGAGGAGCCGCCCUGGAUGGACAGAGGGACGGAGGGACGCUCAUCCAGCCGGUCGCGUCCAGCUGCCCGCAGCAGUCUCCGACACUCGCUGCUGGCUGCCCGCUGCCCGCCUGCCCGGCAUCUCUCGAUCCCGCCACCGCGAGUCAUCUGCUGGGAACACGGGUGUGCAAAUAUCCCUUCGAGUCCCUGCUUCCCAUUCCCGAUGCCUUCUAGAGAGAGAGAGAGAGAGAGAGCGUUUGGACAAGUUUUUCCCAUGGUUUGGGAAUCACGGGUUUGUGGAUUACCGCGUGCCAUGAGGACCGUCAUCGACGCGUACAGACUUCUCUGGGGACCAGAGCUAACGUUUACCGAGGAUCUCUGGAGGGGCUGAGACAAUGGCUUUGGCUCUUUUCACUCCUCAUGACCGUCUUCCUGAGUGGAUGUCAUCACCCCGUUGUACAGAUGCACAAACGGAGCCUGGGUUGCUGAGGGUCUCACAGGAGCUGAGGGUCCGGGGGCCCCGACUCUGCACCCUCCUUUUGGGACUUUUCACGGCAGCGCAGUGGUUUUUGUGUGGGUGUCAUAAGCUCGCUAGGUCAAGUUGGCAAGACCCCCCGCCCCCCCCCCCCCCCCCCCCCCCCCCCCGGGGUCAGGACCACGCUUCCUCCUUCUCCUGCGUCUCCCACUCGGGCUGGAACUCGGACGAUGCUCAACGAAUGCUCUUAAAUCAGCGCCUCUGAGUUCUGAUGUCAGAGGAGUGGUCUCAGGACCCCCCCCCCCCCACCGCUGUGUCCUUGUGCUGUUCUGCUGCCUAGAGGCACCCUCUCACUCUCAGACGUGCCCUUCGGGGCCCAACCUGGGGGCCCUUCUCAGGACCGCCCCGCACACCCUGUCCUCCAUGCUUGUGGCUCUCUGUUGGAGCUCACCUCUCCGUGGGACGGUCAUGAUAGGCAAAACUGCACCAAUGGAAGGGACUUCCCGAGGAGGAAAUAUGCUCCCUGUCAGCAAAAGGAGGCAAGUGGAGGCUGGGUGGCUCUGGAACCCGAAGCAAUCAGCCCUAGGACCCGAAGCCAGAAGAUGUAAAGAUUCAGGGGAGUCCUCCCCAGGGUUGGGGUGGGCCAGGCCCUGGAACUUGGAGUAGGCAUGGGUCACCCGUCUGACCAGACCCGGGCAACAGAAGCCAUGGCUCCAGUCCCUGGGUCCAAAGGCUUCUGGGACUUGGCCAAGCAGCCAUAUUGGGCCUCUGGACCUAUGAACCACAGACUAGGCCUGGGAGACAGGAAAUGGCCCUGCUCAGGGCCCAAAAACCCCCUUAGCAUACCCUCACUCCCUCCCCGCCUCCCACAGUGGCCUCAGGCCCCUGCGCCCCGCGCCCAUGGGGUUAAAUCUCUCCCUGUCUCUCUCUGCUCCAAGUUGUUUUCCAAGUGAAGCAGAGAAUGGUUCUCUUGUUACCAACAUGGCUUCUGGGCAUUGGGUAAUGCGCUCCCUCUUCUCCCUGCUCCGCUCCACAAAGGGACCUUUUGUUCCUCUCCCUGCCCCUCUCUCUGGCUCUUCCCCGGCCCCCCACCCACCCCAACUCCCUCCUCCCCGCCUCCCGCCCCACACUGCACCCCUGGGCUGUGAGGAGUGACCAUGGUCUGGCUGUGGUGCCCUCCCUCUCUCAAGGCGCCCAGGGAGGAGAAGGGGCCUUGUGGCCGCGGCGGCCAUUUUGAGAGCGGCCAUUCCAGGCGGUCCCGGGCUUCCGUGAGGCUUGCGGGGUUGGGGAGGCCACAGUGGGGUGGCUGGGGCUCAGCAGGAGGUCUUGUGGUGCACCUCCUGUCCUCCAGGGAGUGGGGGGAGGGACCCUCCCACCCACCACCCUGACCCGGGCCGCCUCCUUGCACUGAGACAAGACACCUUCCCAUCCACCAUCUCGCUUGACCCGCACAGCAGCCCAAGGGGCGGGAGUGACACCCCGUCUUCCACAGGUGGAGACUGAGGCUCAGCGGGGUAAGUGUCCUUCCCCACCAGGGGCUCAGUGAGCAGAUGCUGCAGCUAGACGGAGCUGCGUGCUCCUCCCCUGAAACCUCUCCAGGAAAGAGCCCUCAGAAUGUGCCCUGACCCAUGGGAUACGCCGAGAUGGAUCUGGGCCACCAGAGGAAGCCUAAAACCAAAUAUACUGGAGUUUUUUUGCAAACGGAACAGAUUGUGCCCGAGAUGGGAGUGUCAGGAAGCCGGUCAGAUACUGAAGUGUCUGCUCUCAAGGGAAGACGGUCUCUGUCCACUGUCCCCUCCCUUGCCUCCUCACAACAGGCCUGCAAGGCAGGCAGGGACAGGCUGACGACAACAUUUUUCAGAUGAGGAAACAGGCCCAGAGAGGAUCCGGGGCCAGGACUCGGCGCUCACCCGGUUAGAUUCCAGCUCUGGUUGUUGUCUCUUUCCGGGGCCGCUCCCCACCCCUCGAGAGGCCCAGGGACUCGGGGAGGGGACUUAGGUGGGUCACAGCAGUCCCAGCCACCCCCUCUGCAACCACAGGAGCCAGAGCCCUGAGGAUGUUGUAUUCGGGUGCCUCAAACAUCCAUCGAUUCCCCUAUCACACUCCGUCCCUGUGUCUACAGAGAUGUGAAACAGAGCACCCGCGUGUACCCGUGAUGUAUAUUCCCCUGUGACCACUGAGCUGGGUCUGGGGCCUUCGGGCCACUGCGAGAAGUAAAAUGGGUAGAUUGGGGAUGGGUGGAUGGGCAGCUGGGGGGAACAGAGAGGGCACGAAGAUUUAUCCAGAGCUGAAUACACCCCCCUGGGCCUGCCCUCAAGGAGCCACAGUCCAGGAGGAGAGCUACAGCCGUAGAGAGCCAGUGGGCUGUCAGAGAGGGGGCCUGGGAGCUCACCACUGGCUGGGAGGUUGAGGCAGGAAGGCUUCUUGGAGCAGGGGACCAAGGACAGAGCCUGAAAAGACGAGGAUAAGUUAACCAGGCAACGAAAUUGAGACGGAAGGUAGGAAAGGAGCUGGCAGAGGGGGUGGGGCUGGGGCUGAGAAGAAGGUGAAUGGUGUGCGAUGGGGUAAAGAGGCCACCCGUGUGCCAGAGCAGAGUGGGGACAGGGAAGGUGGGAGAGGUGGGUAGGGGGAGGAACCACGUGGGCUGCCGAGGGUAGUCAGGGGGGCUCCUGCUGUGGAUGUCCCGAUAAGGUACACGGACGAGGUCUCGAGGGAUAGUGGGGUGGUCGCUGAAGGAUUUUAAAGGGGUCAGGGCUGGGUCUGUGCCAGUCUGGUUUAUUACUGUUUUCCCAGCGCCCGGCUCAGUGCCCGGCAUACAGCAGGCGCUCAAUAAAUGUUUUGGAUCAAUGCAUGAAUGCCGCCGGUGUACCCUGAGGUAGUGGUUAACUCCAGUCGCGGGGUCUCGGGCCUCAGCUCCCUCGUUUGUAAAACGAGGGUAACAGCCCCUGUCUCUGGAGGUGCCGAAAUGGUUGAGGGAUCGAGCUCGUGGCAGGACUUUGCUCAGUGUCCUGCAUGGGGUCACGCUCCACGACUGGGGCCUUUACGACACAUGUGCAGACGUGCUGUGGGCAAGACAGGGGCAAGGACCGGGUUAGAAGCGGCCGAGUUGUCCAGGUGCGAGAGGAUGCGCCAAUGGCCACGUCCACCAAGGGCUUACGCUGUCCAUACAUUUUCUCAUAAUCCCGAAAACAGGCUAACGGAGAAGGCAUUAUGGUCACCCCUGUCUUGUCGUCCAGGACACCGAGGUGCAGCGAGGCGACGUGAUCCGCCCGAGACCCUGAGGCUGGCGAGCCGUGGACGGAAGCCAGACGCCAGCGCCCGGCCUGUGACCACUGAGCUGGUGACGGAGACUGGUUAGGGUCGUGCUGGACUUGGAAAUCCCGUGAGUAACCUGAACUGCAGAGCAGUGGGAACACGGGGAGGUCGCCCCGUGUGGCAUUCUGCACAUUUGCUGAGGCUCAGAUUAUCUUCCUAAGGAGGGGGUGGCGUGGGGAUCCCAUCGGAUGGUGGGAUAUUCGGAUAAUCAUCCUUCUGUGUCUCUCCUUCCUCCGCUGCCCCUGGGAGGAAGCUGUGACCCUCCGUGGGGCCCCAGCGGGGCUGCUCCCCAGGACUAAAGAGGGAGGUGAGGUGUGAGGGGCC